rnacentral:rRNA from 1 species
CAGCCGCCACGGUAAAACGGAGGGUGCAAGCGUUAAUCGGAAUUACUGGGCGUAAAGCGCACGCAGGCGGUCUGUCAAGUCGGAUGUGAAAUCCCCGGGCUCAACCUGGGAACUGCAUUCGAAACUGGCAGGCUAGAGUCUUGUAGAGGGGGGUAGAAUUCCAGGUGUAGCGGUGAAAUGCGUAGAGAUCUGGAGGAAUACCGGUGGCGAAGGCGGCCCCCUGGACAAAGACUGACGCUCAGGUGCGAAAGCGUGGGGAGCAAACAGGAUUAGAUACCCGAGUAGUCCUUGUCUCUUAUAC